rnacentral:rRNA from 1 species
CGACCGGCGCACGGGUGAGUAACGCGUAUGCAACUUACCUAUCAGAGGGGGAUAGCCCGGCGAAAGUCGGAUUAAUACCCCAUAAACAGGGGUCCCGCAUGGGAAUAUUUGUUAAAGAUUCAUCGCUGAUAGAUAGGCAUGCGUUCCAUUAGGCAGUUGGCGGGGUAACGGCCCACCAAACCGACGAUGGAUAGGGGUUCUGAGAGGAAGGUCCCCCACAUUGGUACUGAGACACGGACCAA